ACACACAAGUUCUUCUAAUUUUUAUAUACAAGUGAAUAUGUUUUCUCUUUCACUUAAGCCAGUCUGGACCAUAUUUCAGUCACUUGCAAUCUAGAGUUUCACCAAGAG